UCAAGACCAAGAAUGGGCGCGCGACCGAAAGACCGCGGGAUGGGGAACAGGGCCGAAGCCGUGCGCGGUGCCGAUCAUCGACGGGGACAGCCGAGUGGCGGCGGGCAGCGACGAGGGAGGCUGGAAAGGGCGGAGACUGAGCGGAAAGAGCCGAAGCUGAGCCGAUGUCGAGCGAUGGGGGCCGAAAACUGACGGAAGAAUCCGAAGGCCCAAGGGAGGGCUCGAGGGCCGCUCGGCGCCGUAGACCCAGUCGGGGAGCCGAGGCUGAGGACCGAGCGGCGGGACGCAAUGGGAGCGGGCGGGCCGCGCCCGAGAGCGGCGGCCCGGACACGCGGGACACCGAGGACGGCGGGACACCGAGGACGGCGGGACACCGAGGACGGCGGGACACCGAGGACGGCGGGACACCGAGGACGGCGGGACACCGAGGACGGAGCGGCUGUUGUGAAGCCCAACGUCCACAGGAUGGAAAGUACGGUGUUACUGUACCCUGAUACGUGACCCCGUGCUGCGCAGGGAAGUGUCCCCGAGGCCACGGCCAAGCCCCUCGUGGCACCCGGCACCCGGAGAACCUUGCAGACCACAGAGACAAGGCUGGAUCGCAGCUGCCCGAGCCUGGGGGUCGGGAGGGCACACAGGGUCCCAGCACAGCAAGAAAGUCAGGCUUGGGGGGGGGGCUGCUCAGAAGCACGUGCUCAGCUGCCCCUGCAGAGACCGGCCGCCCGUCCACCUGUCUCGUUCGGGUCACGUCCGGGGCUUCCUGCUCCCGGGGGGUGGGGGACAGCUGCAGGCCAGAAAAGACUGCACUCUUGGGCUGAAGCAGCAAAGCACACGACCGUGCACCCAGCUUGACGUCUGGCCCCCUUUGUUGUACUGUGGUCUGUACAGCAAGGGUUCCAGGAAGCUGACGAGGAUGCUAGAAAAUCCUGGGAGGAUAGGUUGGGCCAGGUGUCCCACAGGUGAAAGGCAGGUGAGGAUCACGGCCCUGUCCCCAGCACUCACCCCCCACGUGUCAACUGUUUCUUCUGCCAGUCACACGAUGACCACGUACCAACCACUUUACCCUUUUCUCACGUCCUGCCACUAACCAGGGUCCCGAGUCCCGAGUCCCCUGUGCUCAGGGGACCCUGGGGAAGCGGGGGGGCCCACCUUAUCCCCUCCUAGAACAUACCCCGUCCACUGGCUGAGGCACAGAUACCGUGACCGCCGCCGUCAGUGUCCAGGACCGCACAGACGCAGCAGGGAUUCACAGGAGAGAGAGAGACACAUGGGUUCAGGGUGGCGGAGAACCAAGCAGGCUCUGUGCUGUCACCUUAGACUCCGUCACGGGACUCGAACCCACAGACUAGGAGAUCAUGACCUGAGUUGACAUCCAGAGUCAGACGCCUGCCGACUGAGCCCCCCAGGCCCCGAGUUUGGAUUCCUAGAGCCACGCCAGAGUUCCCUGUCCCCUCCCCAGCGUCACACACAUUCUCUCCCAACGGGAAGGCCCCUUCUGGGGAACUGCUGUGGGAGAGCCCCGAGUCCCCAUCCUGAAUGUGCUCCCUGGGGAGCCGAGCUCCGCUGGUGCACGUGCCUCUCGCACUGGAAGAGUCUGGAACAGUCGUGAGCAGUAGGUCACCCUGCAAGGUGGGACUGGCUGUGCCGGCGCUGGAGGCUGUGUCCCUCUCGUGUACGACCAGCAGGACGCUUGGGACUGUAGGGUGUUUAGCAGGGAUGGCGCCCAGGCCACACGCCCAGAGUGAAAACCUGGGAACGCUGUAGGGGACACGGCUUCAGGCCACGGACGGGACAGACUCCCGUGGCACCACGUGGGCACUCACCACCUAGACAUGGACGCACCGUUUCCGGUCUGCGUCUCCACAGCACUGCACUGGGCCAGCUCAGAGGCCUCACGAGUUCACAUUAACUUCGUCUCCUUAUUGCUAGUUCUAGACCACGAGUUAAAGCUGGAUUCAAAUGCUCUUUACCCAAAAAAUUACAAAAAGAAAACGUUCACCAUAUGCACUUGAGGCAUCACGGUGGCGGCUCCUAGAGCUUUCCUGCUCGGCUGGGAACACAGCCAGUGCAGGACAGUGUUGGGGGGGCAGCUCCGUGUGCAGGGUCAGGUACAGCAGCAGGACACCCCCUCCUAGGGCGUCCGAGGCUGAGGGAGACGGAGACAUUGGAGCACAGAGAGGGAGCCCACACCACACGUGCCGGUCUGCACUGUGUUUUGUUUUGUUUUAACAUUUAUUUAUCAUUGAGAGACAGACACAGAGCGUGAGCCAGAGAGGGGCAGGGAGAGAGGGAGACACAGAAUCCGAAGCAGGCUCCAGGCUCCGAACUGUCAGCACAGAGCCCCACGCGGAGCUCGAACUCACAAACUGGGAGAUAUGACCUGAGCCGAAGUCAGUCGCCUAACCAACUGAGCCACCCAGGUGCCCCGAACUCACCGUCUGUUUUAAUGCACUUGCACUCAGCCUCACCAAGUGGACUCUGACCAGCAACUAAGGCGCCAUUUGGACAGCAGGUUUCAAGCCCGUCCCUUACUAGAGACAGCACUGCAGCGAAGGGGUGGGUGCUCCGUGGGAGGUCCCGUCCUAGGGAGGCGGAUGACACACAGACUCAUCAGCCUCCCCAGGACAGCGAGCCUUCUGCGAAACAGACAGGGGGAACGAUGUCAGAGCUCCGCACUGGGCCACCUGUCUAGAGUAGGUGGGUCACCUUCUAGAAGGACUGCCACGCAUUAUGCCAAGACUUGUCUCCGACUCCGCUUCAGCCUGCCCUUUGUGGACAUGGUGCAGAGCCAGUUGAGUGCCCUACACAGAUCAGUGGAGACGGACAGAGAAUCUGGGACUGACCCACACUUACAGGAUCAACUCCUGUUUGACGAAGGUUCCAGGACAGUCCGAUGUGGGAAAACAUGGUCCUUUCAACAGAAAGUGAUGGGGAAAGUGGACAUCCAUAUGGCCAAAAAAAUAACAUUGAUCCUUGCUUCACACGGUGCACGACAUAAAUUCCAAAUGGGUCACGUACAUAAUCAUAGAAUCAAACGUGUAGGAGAAACAUGGGAUAAAACAUGCCCUGUGUGUGUCCGGAUGUGCACGCAGUGGAGACGCAUACUUCACAACUUAAUACAGAAUAUACACAGAACUGUUUCCACAAUAACACAAACAGGUCCCCGAGAUGAUGGGAAGACACUUCCCAAAAAAUACACGGUUGCCCAGUAAGCACACAGAAAUGCUCAACGUAUUAGUCGCCGGAGAAAUCUAAAUUAAAACCAUGAGAUCCCACUAAACACCCACGUGAAUGACUACAGUGAAAAAGACGUGCCACAUGGCGAGGCUUUGGAGCAGUGGGGACUCUCCUACGCUGCUCACGGGAGCGGUGCUCACACUUUGCAAAACUACUUUCAUCAGUUUCUUUUAAAAGUUAAAAUACAGGGGGUGCCCAGAUGGCCCAGUUGGU